AAGGCGGUAAGCAAUGGAAGCGGCUUGGAUUUCCAAUCUUCGCAGUGCGGGUUCGACUCCCGCCCGCCUUC
rnacentral:tRNA from 1 species